rnacentral:rRNA from 1 species
AACGUAGGACACAAGCGUUAUCCGGAGUUACUGGGCGUAAAGAGCGUGUAGGCGGCCCGGUAAGUCCGCUGUGAAAGUCGGGGGCUCAACCCUCGAAUGCCGGUGGAUACUGUCGGGCUAGAGUGCGGAAGAGGCGAGUGGAAUUCCUGGUGUAGCGGUGAAAUGCGCAGAUAUCAGGAGGAACACCAAUUGCGAAGGCAGCUCGCUGGGACGUAACUGACGCUGAGACGCGAAAGCGUGGGGAGCAAACAGG